CCUCCAUUUCAUUGUUUUCGACACGGAGAUGGCUCAUGACAUCCUCAAGGUCUGGGACGGGCCGGUGGACAGUGACAUCCUGCUGAAGGAGUGGAGUGGCUCUGCCCUUCCCGAGGACAUCCACAGCACCUUCAACUCACUCACCCUGCAGUUCGACAGCGACUUCUUCAUCAGCAAGUCUGGCUUCUCCAUCCAGUUCUCCAGAUCUCAGGCUGGAACAUGAAGACGCUUGUCUGACCACCCCAAAGCCAGUCAUUCAGCCACUCUCCACAAAAUGUAGCUUGCCACUUCUGGGAACCAGUGAGAAUCGGGCACCAGUCUCCAUCUCCCUGAGAACCUGACAAACAUUUGACUCCUACACCUGGAAUAAAUCAUGUCCUGGUUUUCUAGUUUUAGAAAAGAAGGUUCCUAUAACCCUUCAGUCGUAAUUAAGAAACUGAACCAGGAACCCUGCUUCAUCGCAGGAAGAAACUGGGCUGUUAUGUCCCCCUCACUCCACCCACAUUCCUCCCCUCACUGGGGAAUCCAGCCAUGAAACUAAAUCAAGCUGGUGUCUUUCCAAGCCAGAGGUGGGAAACUCUUCACAAAGUGCAAAAGAACCUGUCCAUCACACCCGAGAAGCCAUCCCCACUCUUUUGUAGAUGGGAGGAUGGGUGGGAGAUGGAAAUCUCUCAUUUUUUUCUUUAUGAACCUGGGACCAAAAAAAACGAGGAACUUUACCUAUAAAUUAGAUUGUGUUGUGAUUUAUAAACCAUGCUAAUUUUAUAAUUUAGAACAUUGGAAUUAGUUAUGAUUUAAAACAUUUUUAAAUAGAACUCAAAAAGAAAUGUUUUCCUCAUAUGAUUGAUGUUUUAAGUGUGGCCAUUGUUUCCAAGCAAAAAUGACAUUUAUUCAAUUGUAUUAAAUUAGAUUUCUUGGUAGGCUAUUUUUACUUGAUUCUAUGUCAAUAACAUGUGAAAUAAGCAUUAGAGGUGUGAUUAAAUUAUUGGAGAGAAAAU
rnacentral:sRNA from 1 species